UACGGAGGGGGCGAGCGUUGUCCGAAGUUACUGGGCGUAAAGGGCGCGUAGGCGGGAACUUAAGUCCGCUGUGAAAGCCUGGAGCUUAACUCCAGAGGGUCGGUGGAGACUGGGUUUCUUGAAAGGGCUAGGGGGAGAUGGAAUUACCGGUGUAGCGGUGGAAUGCGCAGAUAUCAGGAGGAACACCGGUGGCGAAGGCGGCCUGCUGGGCAGUAGCUGACGCUGAGGCGCGACAGCGUGGGGAGCAAACGGG
rnacentral:rRNA from 1 species